CACAGACUUCUAACCCUGAGGGAAAGCUGUCAGCAUGACACCUGCUGCCUUGCUGUGGGCAGCCAUGGUCUCUGCCUGUCUGGGAUCCAGCAUGGCCCAGACAGUCACUCAGCCUCAACCAGAAAUGUCUGUGCAGGAGACAGAGACUGUGACCCUGGCCUGCUCCUAUGACACCAGUGACAGUAAUUAUUUGUUCUGGUACAAACAGCCUCCCAGUGGGGAGAUGAUUCUCAUUAUCCGCCAAGAAGCUUAUAAGGAACAAAAUGCAACGAAUAAUCGCUUCUCUGCGAACUUCCAGAAAGCAAGUAAACACUUUGGCCUCAGGAUCUCAGGCUCCCAGCUGGAAGAUGCAGCAAUGUAUUUCUGUGCUCUCAGUAGGAGCACAGUGAGAUGA